rnacentral:rRNA from 1 species
GAUGAACGCUGGCGGCGUGCCUAAUACAUGCAAGUCGAGCGAACAGACGAGGAGCUUGCUCCUCUGACGUUAGCGGCGGACGGGUGAGUAACACGUGGAUAACCUACCUAUAAGACUUGGAUAACUUCGGGAAACCGGAGCUCAUACCGGAUAAUAUAUUUAACCGCAUGGUUCAAUAGUGAAAUACGGUUUUGCUGUCACUUAUAGAUGGAUCCGCGCCGCAUUAGCUAGUUGGUAAGGUAACGGCUUACCAAGGCAACGAUGCGUAGCCGACCUGAGAGGGGGAUGGCGCACAGAGAAAGUGAGAGGCGGUACAGACACCGAGGGGAGGCAGCAGUAGGGAAUCGACGGAAAAGGGGGAAAGACUGACGGAGCAACGCAGGGUGAGUGAUGAGGGGCUGCGGAGCGGAAAAAGGUGUUAUGAGGGAAGAACAAAUGUGUAAGGAACGAAGCACGUCGUGACGGUACCUAAUCAGAAAGCCACGGCUAACUACGUG